rnacentral:rRNA from 1 species
UACAGAGGGUGCGAGCGUUAAUCGGAAUUACUGGGCGUAAAGCGUGCGUAGACGGUUAUUUAAGUCGGAUGUGAAAGCCCCGGGCUCAACCUGGGAAUUGCAUUCGAGACUGAAUAGCUAGGGUGCGGUAGAGGGAAGCGGAAUUUCCGGUGUAGCGGUGAAAUGCGUAGAUAUCGGAAGGAAUACCGGUGGCGAAGGCGGCAUCCUGGACCGGCAUUGACGCUGAUGAGCGAAAGCCAGGGGAGCAAACGGG